GACGAACGCUGGCGGCGUGCUUAACACAUGCAAGUCGAACGGAAAGGCCCUGCUUUUGUGGGGUGCUCGAGUGGCGAACGGGUGAGUAACACGUGAGUAACCUGCCCUUGGCUUUGGGAUAACUUCAGGAAACUGGGGCUAAUACCGGAUAGGAGCUCCUGCUGCAUGGUGGGGGUUGGAAAGUUUCGGCGGUUGGGGAUGGGCUCGCGGCUUAUCAGCUUGUUGGUGGGGUAGUGGCUUACCAAGGCUUUGACGGGUAGCCGGCCUGAGAGGGUGACCGGCCACAUUGGGACUGAGAUACGGCCCAGACUCCUACGGGAGGCAGCAGUGGGGAAUAUUGCACAAUGGGCGGAAGCCUGAUGCAGCAACGCCGCGUGCGGGAUGACGGCCUUCGGGUUGUAAACCGCUUUCGCCUGUGACGAAGCGUGAGUGACGGUAAUGGGUAAAGAAGCACCGGCUAACUACGUG
rnacentral:rRNA from 1 species